rnacentral:rRNA from 1 species
GACAGAGGUGCCGAGCGUUAGGCGGAAUCACUGGGCUUAAAGCGUGUGUAGGCGGACUUCUAAGUACCUUGUGAAAUCCCACGGCUCAACCGUGGAACUGCUUGGUAUACUGGUCGUCUUGAGCCAUCUAGGGGCUGUCGGAACAAAUGGUGGAGCGGUGAAAUGCGUAGAUAUCAGGAGGAAUACCGGUGGCGAAGGCGGCCUUCUGGACCGAUCUUGACGCUGAGACGCGAAAGCGUGGGGAGCAAACAGG